UUCGAGCUUUAGUUUUCUCAUCAAUUGAAAACCUAGAUUUUUUUUUUUAAUUGCACACACAAUCAUACUUACAAUGACUUUAAACUUCUGUCUUUGGAUAUAAGGCACAUUAUUGAAGAAUAUUGACUAAUCUUCCCUUUCUUAGUUUUUCAGAAAACUGGUCGAAUCGGAAAAUGGAACCUAACUGAAGAGAAGAUGGAUGGUUAUCUAUGCAUUUCUAUCUUUCUGGAAGGGGAAAAAUUACAUUUCCAAAAGAAAUCGGAAACAGAAAACAGAUUUGUGACGAUCUUGACACAAACUCCUACCGUAUCAAUAAAUAAAAUCAAGUUAAAGUAUUGUCUAUCAUAUAGUCGAAUAUUGUGCAAUAAACAUACAUCAAGUUUCCCUUGCAGCUAUGCCUCACAAAAUUUUAUAAAAUUUAUUGAAGCUUUAUUAAGGAUAGAGCUUUCAACUUUUCAGAAUAUGUUCUGAAGAAACUGCCUAAUUUCUCAGCAAUAAAAAUGUGAAAACUUAAUGAGAAAAUUCUUGCCAAAAAUAAAUAUAACAUGGCACACGAUAUUGGCACGGCUCAAUCAAACUAAAGGAUCCAAAUCUUUUUGGAAAUUUGAUUUGAUUGAGCCAUUCCAACAUCAUAAUAUGCCUGUCACCCCACACAUGAAAAAAAUGAAUGUUUACCUUGAACGUUUCUUCUCGUAGACUCGAAAAUCUUGAUUACAGGAGUUUUCACACUCUCUUUAUAUUGUGAUUCUUCGUCGUGAAGAAGAACCGAUUUAAGAAACUGAAGAAAUGGGAGAGAAGAACAAGAAAGUUUUG
rnacentral:lncRNA from 1 species